UCCCGGAUCGUCUAAGGGCAGGACAGCUGGUUUUGGUCCAGCUUAUGGGGGUUCGAAUCCUCCUCCGGGAGCCA
rnacentral:tRNA from 4 species